UCCUAUACCCUAGUUCCCUAUCUGAAAAAAUGUUUUUGGUAGUCGCGAGAUGUAGAUAAUAUGGCUAUUAUGAUAGAAUAAGAACAAUAACAGCGUAUUAAUACAAUAAGCCUCCGGGUACCUAAUAUAGGUGGGAGCUUGAUUCGACAUAAAGUAUAAGUUAAGCGUUUGGAGACUAGAGUGUCCCUAGGACCAUUACCUAUGGCAAAGCUCGUGCGUUGUUAGGGUAUCUCCAUGUCCCAACCAUGUUGUCUAAAGCCCUGUCGCUAACUAGUGUGUGGUAAGUGUCGAGAUUCUGAGUGUGUGUGUGUGGCAACACCCGUGUGUGAAGAUGUGAGAUGUGCGGCUAUCGGCCGUUAAUCAUCGCUAACUAUCCGCCUAAGCGCCGGACCACCUGGCCACAGGGUGUCCCGGGGUACCGCGUCUAGGCUUACCGUGCAACGUGCAUGGUCCGUGAUCAUCUAUGAAUGUACAUCUUUCUUCCCUGACUUUCAAUAGUAUCGUGUAUCGUCUGCUUGUCUACAGUUAGCACCUUCGGCCCCGAAUCCGAUCCCUACGUGCAGGUAGACGGGGGAAAGAAGGGGUAAAAGUAGGGGAUAGUUGUUAAUCAAGUUACAGGGGGGUGUUGGUCCCUCCAGCAAGGUCCGCACCGGCCCGCUCCCCAACAGAGGGCCCCGGCGCGUCUCCGUCCCCGCGGCAGCGGGAGAUGUAUAAGAACCACGGCGUCCACCGCUCUGCGUGCCCAGUUCCUCGUCCCGUCAAAACAGCAUGUGCUUCUUCUGCUUCGUGAAUGUCUUCCACUCUGCUGAUCCACUCUUUUUUGGUGGGGAUUUCGGUUCGUUUCCAGUGGGCUGGGAUGUUGGCCUUGGCAGCAUUGAGCAGGUGACGUAGUAUCGAUUUCUUAUAUGAGGAAAUGGAUUGGGUCGAGAUAUGUAGUAAUGCCAAUUCCGCGGACCAUUCUGGUUGUUCUCCCAGGAUGAGUUCAACUGUUUCCCUAAUCAUUUCCCAGUAAGGGGUAAUUGCUCUGCACUCCCACCAGAUAUGUAGUACAGUACCGCGUGCUUCCUGACAUCUCCAACACUCUGGGGGGAUCGAGGGGAAUAUACGGUGCAGUAAAGUCGGCGUUCUAUACCAUAAUGAGAGCAAUUUAUAAUUCACUUCUUGGUAAUACGAGCUCAUAGAACUCUUGUGCUGCCAGAGCAAUGCAGCAUCCCAUUGCUGUGUCGUGAGUGUUGUCCCCAGUUGUCCUUCCCAUUGCCGUUUGAACGUCACCGCUGCCGGUGUCCCUCCGACUAGUAGAUGUUGAUAUAGUGCCGAAAGCGCGUGUUCAAGCGUAGCACCCCGGUCGCAGAGAUCCUCAAACCACG